rnacentral:snoRNA from 1 species
CCCCUCUCAGGGUGGCACUUGGAGAGUUUCCAGUACUCGACCAAUCUCAACUACGGGAGGGAGAGUCAAGCAGAGGUCUAUCCAUUCCAUUCCUAGCUUGGCCAGUGGCUAACAAGUGGAAGACAAUCUGCUACAAGU